rnacentral:rRNA from 1 species
GACGAACGCUGGCGGCGUGCCUAAUACAUGCAAGUCGAGCGGACCGGAUUGGGGCUUGCCUUGAUUCGGUCAGCGGCGGACGGGUGAGUAACACGUGGGCAACCUGCCCGCAAGACCGGGAUAACUCCGGGAAACCGGAGCUAAUACCGGAUAACACCGAAGACCGCAUGGUCUUCGGUUGAAAGGCGGCCUUUGGGCUGUCACUUGCGGAUGGGCCCGCGGCGCAUUAGCUAGUUGGUGAGGUAACGGCUCACCAAGGCGACGAUGCGUAGCCGGCCUGGGAGGGUGACCGGCCACACUGGGACUGAGACACGGCCCAGACUCCUACGGGAGGCAGCAGUAGGGAAUCUUCCGCAAUGGGCGAAAGCCUGACGGAGCGACGCCGCGUGAGCGAAGAAGGCCUUCGGGUCGUAAAGCUCUGUUGUGAGGGACGAAGGAGCGUCGUUCGAAGAGGGCGGCGCGGUGACGGUACCUCACGAGAAAGCCCCGGCUAACUACGUG